rnacentral:rRNA from 1 species
AGGGAAUCUUCGGCAAUGAGGGCAACCCUGACCGAGCAACGCCGCGUGAGUGAAGAAGGUUUUCGGAUCGUAAAGCUCUGUUGUAAGAGAAGAACGAGUGUGAGAGUGGAAAGUUCACACUGUGACGGUAACUUACCAGAAAGGGACGGCUAACUACGUGCCAGCAGCCGCGGUAAUACGUAGGUCCCGAGCGUUAUCCGGAUUUAUUGGGCGUAAAGCGAGCGCAGGCGGUUAGAUAAGUCUGAAGUUAAAGGCUGUGGCUUAACCAUAGUACGCUUUGGAAACUGUUUAACUUGAGUGCAGAAGGGGAGAGUGGAAUUCCAUGUGUAGCGGUGAAAUGCGUAGAUAUAUGGAGGAACACCGGUGGCGAAAGCGGCUCUCUGGUCUGUAACUGACGCUGAGGCUCGAAAGCGUGGGGAGCAAACAGGAUUAGAUACCCUGGUAGUCCACGCCGUAAACGAUGAGUGCUAGGUGUUGGGUCCUUUCCGGGACUCAGUGCCGCAGCUAACGCAUUAAGCACUCCGCCUGGGGAGUACGACCGCAAGGUUG